rnacentral:rRNA from 1 species
GAUAAACGCUGGCGGUCUGCAUAACACAUGCAAGUCGAACGAAGCUCUUUGGAGCUUAGUGGCGGACGGGUGAGUAACGCGUGAGGAUCUGCCUUUAGGACUGGGACAACGAUCGGAAACGAUCGCUAAUUCCAGAUAUGCAGUUAGUGAAACGGAGCAAUCCGCCUAAAGAUGAACUCGCGUCCGAUUAGCUAGUUGGUAGUGUAAGGGACUACCAAGGCAACGAUCGGUAGCUGGUCUGAGAGGACGAUCAGCCACACUGGAACUGAGACACGGUCCAGACUCCUACGGGAGGCAGCAGGUGAGGAAUUUUCCGCAAUGGCGAAAGCCUGACGGAGCAAGACCGCGUGUGGGAGGACGCCC